rnacentral:lncRNA from 1 species
AAAUCGUUGUGCAAUUGCUGCGGCUGAGGCGGUGGAGGUAGCGGUGGUAGAAUCUCCGGCUUCCUAUCUUCUGGAGAUCCAACUGUAUCCAUAUAGCAGGUAGUGUUCAUUUUCCGAUUCUUCUCAAUCGAUCCCUUUUUGUUGUAAAUUCUGCAUAGAACCCAAUCAUCUAGCUGUAAACAAAAUACAAACCGUCAAAAAUCAAUCGAAAACACAGUCUAAAUCGUCAAAACAAUGAAUCUGUUCUGUACUCACCCUUAAGCUAUUGUUGUUCUUACGAGCAGAUCGAUCAACAUCAGCAAGACGAUAUUCAUGCAUGAUCCAAUUAGUCUUCUCUCCUUUAGGUGCCUUACCAGAAUAAAACACCAAUGCUUUCUUAAUUCCCACCGCUUUCGGAAUUCCAAUCGGCUUAUCCGCACCAGUAGCCUUCCAAUAUCCACUUCCAGCAGCUCGAUUCGGUCGUGAACCGUUCGGAUACUUCCGAUCUCGAGGUGAAAAGAAGUACCACUCUUUCUCUCCAUACAAUGCCAAAUCUAAAACACGAACACAAAAUUUAAUCAACACAAAUCCCCAAUUUCAUCAUUUCAACUGUUCACUACUAACAAAAACUAAAUUACCAGGAAGAUCCCAUGGAUCAAACUUGUAGAGAUCAAUUUCAGCUACAAUUGGUACAGUAAUUGGCUGGGAAGUGCAUUUUCGGCAUAAAUAAUGCGUCACAAGUUCUUCAUCAGUUGGAUGAAAUCUGAAUCCUGGAGGUAACUGCAAUUCAGCUGCUGUCAUUUUUCUUUUUUCUUUUAAAUAUAAAUUUCUGUUUUUAGUAUAAAUACAGAGUAUCUGAAUGAUUUCUGAAUUCUGAAUAGAAGAGAAGGAAUAGGAAAAGGGUUGAAAGUUGAAACUUAGGUCACAAGGGAGAGAACUAAAUAUAUAGAAAACGGAAGAAGGACACGUGGCGAAGAUAAGCUAAACGGAUCUAGAAAAAACGUGUUAAAAUAAUUAGAAAUAAAAUGUAAAAUUGAAAAUUAUAUUAAAAAAGAGUGGACACGUAUGCAAAAAUUGAGUUUGAGGGGGUAGGUGAGGGGGUGGGGGUGCAUUUGGUCACUGCUUACGCACUGCUUUUUGGACACAAGUGUCGAAAGGGACUAGGUGGCUCGGCGGGUUCAUGGAAGUUUCUGGUUCGGUUUUGGUUCGGGAGGAUCAGGCUCGGGAAGUUGACACGUAUACCAGGUAGAUGCACGCUCGGUAAUUUUGUGUCGUUACUUACGACAAAAAUGUGGGGGGCCACUUUAUUUUUUUAUAUUUUAUAAUUAAGUAAAUAAAAUAAAUUUAAAUUUAAAAAAAUGGAUGUGGAACUUUUAUGGUGUGAAGGUGGUAGUUGGAAUUGAUGAGAAGGAGAUGAACUAAUGUGUCAAUGAUUAGUGAAUUAACGUUGCUAGGAGUGACACAUAUACUAAUGAAUUUAUUAAGAUUGUAAAAAAACAAAAAACAAAAAAAAUAAAAAUGAAUGUAUUUAAAGAAAAAGAAAAACUAAUUUUUGUGAUUCUUUAAAGUAAACUUCAAUUAAAGAUGAAGAAAUUUGAUAUAUUUUAUGUUUUUUUUUAUCUAUCGUGGAAUAUCUAAGUUUGAUAAGGCCUCAUUUAGCAGGAAGCACGUCUACUAAGAAUUUUUUUCUAAUUUCUGAUUGAGAAAAGAAGCGGUCUCAUUCAGAAUAACACAUCUUUGCUAUUGUUAUUUUCCUAUCUAUUUGCGAUUCCUUAAAGUAAAAAGGUGUAAGCAUAUUCUUUAGAUGAUUUUGUAUAAUCAAUUUGCAGGAAUGAGAAAGAAAAAAAAAAGAACAAUGUUUGGUUUGUUUACACCUUUCGUAAUCAGAAUAUAGUUACUCAACAAUUAUUUUAUUGUGAAUAAGUUGCAAUUUUUUCUUCUAAAAGAUAAGAGCAUAUUUGAAUCUCAAAUAUGAUUGGCUAAUUUUGAGUCAAAUCGACUUCUGCGCCGUAGAUUAUCGUUUCUUCUGUUUUUCACUUCAUCCGUUUCAUUUCUUACGUCUGACUUUAUUUUAUUUUUUAAAAAAAAAUUGUAUGUAUCUAGUAAGUUCUUAAUUAUGUCAUUCCUAUUCCCCACCAAAUUCUUUAUUAAUGACACUUUUGCAGGGAUAACAUGACAUCUGAAAUUACAAUAAAUUUAUAGUGAUAUACCAACCUGACUGCGGUGCAGUUGUGAGACUGUUUUACCUUUAAUUAGAGAUUUUAGAUUCGAGCCAUGAGUAUGAAAAAAGUUAUAUUGGAAACGCCACUCUUAAGUAGGCCCUGUAGUGUGCGAUCUAAAUUUUAUUGGGAUUACAAUAUGAACGGGUG